rnacentral:misc_RNA from 1 species
GCAUUAUUUCAUAAUUAUCACCCAUUAUACUCGCAGUGUUCUUGGUGGCACCAAUACCCAACGC